rnacentral:rRNA from 1 species
UACGGGGGGAGCAAGCGUUGUUCGGAUUUACUGGGCGUAAAGGGCGCGUAGGCGGCGUGACAAGUCACUUGUGAAAUCUCCGGGCUUAACUCGGAACGGUCAAGUGAUACUGUCGUGCUAGAGUACAGAAGGGGCAACUGGAAUUCUCGGUGUAGCGGUGAAAUGCGCAGAUAUCGGGAAGAACACCCGUGGCGAAGGCGGUUCUCUGGGACGGUACUGACGCUGAGACGCGAAAGCGUGGGGAGCGAACAGG